AACAGGAUUAGAUACCCUGGUAGUCCACGCCGUAAACGAUGUCGACUUGGAGGUUGUGCCCUUGAGGCGUGGCUUCCGGAGCUAACGCGUUAAGUCGACCGCCUGGGGAGUACGGCCGCAAGGUUAAAACUCAAAUGAAUUGACGGGGGCCCGCACAAGCGGUGGAGCAUGUGGUUUAAUUCGAUGCAACGCGAAGAACCUUACCUGGUCUUGACAUCCACAGAACUUUCCAGAGAUGGAUUGGUGCCUUCGGGAACUGUGAGACAGGUGCUGCAUGGCUGUCGUCAGCUCGUGUUGUGAAAUGUUGGGUUAAGUCCCGCAACGAGCGCAACCCUUAUCCUUUGUUGCCAGCGGUCCGGCCGGGAACUCAAAGGAGACUGCCAGUGAUAAACUGGAGGAAGGUGGGGAUGACGUCAAGUCAUCAUGGCCCUUACGACCAGGGCUACACACGUGCUACAAUGGCGCAUACAAAGAGAAGCGACCUCGCGAGAGCAAGCGGACCUCAUGAAGUGCGUCGUAGUCCGGAUUGGAGUCUGCAACUCGACUCCAUGAAGUCGGAAUCGCUAGUAAUCGUGGAUCAGAAUGCCACGGUGAAUACGUUCCCGGGCCUUGUACACACCGCCCGUCACACCAUGGGAGUGGGUUGCAAAAGAAGUAGGUAGCUUAACCUUCGGGAGGGCGCUUACCACUUUGUGAUUCAUGACUGGGGUGAAGUCGUAACAAGGUAACC
rnacentral:rRNA from 1 species